ensembl:misc_RNA Metazoa_SRP Metazoan signal recognition particle RNA
GCCAGGUGUGGCAGCUCACACCUGUAAUCCCAGAUCUGGGAGGCCGAGGCGGGCGGAUCACCUGAGGUCGGGAGUUUGAGACCAGCCUGACCAACAUGGUGAAACCCCGUCUCUA